UCCCGGUUAACCCGGGCAGUCCCUUUAGAGUGCCCAACUUAAUGAUGGCAACUAAUGACAAGGGUUGCGCUCGUUACAGCACUUAAGCUAACAUCUCACGACACGAGCUGACGACAGCCAUGCAACACCUGAUGUAGGCUCCCCUUGCGGGGUCGUUACCGUUUCCGGUUUCUACUACCUCCACUUCAAGCCCGGGUAAGGUUCUUCGCGUUGCAUCGAAUUGAACCACAUGCUCCACCGCUUGUGCGAGCCCCCGUCAAUUCCUUUGAGUUUUAACCUUGCGGCCGUACUCCCCAGGCGGGACACUUAACGCGUUAGCUGCGACAGGGAAGGGCAAGCCCUCCUCCAUCUAGUGUCCAUCGUUUACGGCUGGGACUAC
rnacentral:misc_RNA from 1 species